rnacentral:lncRNA from 1 species
AUCGUUGGUUGCCCACUAUUUACCAAAUGUUGAGCACAGGCAUGACCCUUACUCCACCUUAGCCCCGUUAUGUUUCAAUAGCUGGACCAUUGAGUAUGAGCUACCUACCUCAGCGUCAUGACUCCAGACUUAGAAAUUCAUCCAAGGCUAGAGAAAUAGUUGAUGCCAUUCUGAUCAAGGCUAAUUGUGUCCCUGCCUCUAUCUUUCUAGUCUAGAAAGGAACUUGCCUUCCUCAGUUACUCUCUAGACACUGUUACCUUUUAGUGCCCUUCCUUUCAUUUAAUUGUUAAUUUUCUUGCUUUCCUUUGGCUCCUUUUCUAUUGACAUGUGCUCUUGUCUUUU